GACAGCUUAGCCAAGUGGUUACGGCGUUGGACUUGAAAUCCAAUGGGCUUCGCCCGCGCAGGUUCGAACCCUGCAGUUGUCG